GUGUCAGCCGCCGCGGUAAUACGGAGGGUGCAAGCGUUAUCCGGAAUCACUGGGUUUAAAGGGUGCGUAGGCGGUGUAGUUAGUCAGUCGUGAAAUCGCUGGGCUCAACCCAUGCAAUUGCGAUUGAUACUGCUACACUUGAAUGGGGUUAAGGCAGGCGGAAUGUGGCAUGUAGCGGUGAAAUGCAUAGAUAUGCCAUAGAACACCGAUUGCGAAGGCAGCCUGCUGGGCCUUUAUUGACGCUGAGGCACGAAAGCGUGGGGAGCAAACAGGAUUAGAAACCCUUGUAGUCC
rnacentral:rRNA from 1 species